rnacentral:miRNA from 1 species
AGGACGUCCCCUUACGGGA